rnacentral:rRNA from 1 species
AUGGUCUUAUGGAGCAUAGAUGCUAUCAGCAAAUGUCAGAUCAAAGAGAUACUAGAUGGAUCAGAAGAUCCACUUAUGUUGUGUCCAAGCAGGAAAGAAUGGAUAAAAAGUUUGGAGUGCGCAUUGAAGAGCAAGGAGGUCUUUUGCACAGGGUGGACUAUGAAUGCAAAAUGUGCAUACGCACCUACCAGAAAAAACCAGAUGUAUGACUAUUCAGUAAGCCUGCAGAGGUACCGCGAGUUGCGUAAUUGUAGUCACGCCGCAAGUUUCAAGGCAUGCCACUCUGAUGAGGACUAUCAUCGUCUAAAGAUGCUUUUGCAAGCACAACAUCAUGGCAAGCAAUCAAGUUUUGAACAAGCUGACAGCAAGGACUCAACUAAUGCUCAGCAUAACAGCAUUAGGACGAGGUGCACCGAAGAAAAGGCUGCAGGCAAAGACAAAGAAGUCAAGAUCACAGAAUAUCUGUGGCUAUUGCAAGAAACCAGGUCACAAUCAACGAUCUUGAGGCCAAACUGUGAUAUCUACAUACAGCAUGAACCGACGAUGAGCCAGAGAAAGUCGUGUGCCAUUCAGCUUUGUGUGACGUGGUCUUUACAUUCUAUUUCACCGUGA